UGGAGGCAGCAGUGAGGAAUCUUGCACAAUGGAGGCAACUCUGAUGCAGCGACGCCGCGUGAGCGAUGAAGCCCUUCGGGGUGUAAAGCUCUUUCGACGGGAACGAUAAUGACGGUACCCGGAGAAGAAGCUGCGGCUAACUACGUGCCAGCAGCCGCGGUAAUACGUAGGCAGCAAGCGUUGUUCGGAAUUACUGGGCGUAAAGAGUGUGUAGGCGGUGCUCUAAGUUCGUUGUGAAAUCUCCCGGCUUAACUGGGAGGGUGCGGCGGAAACUGGAGUGCUCGAGCGCGGGAGAGGAAAGCGGAAUUCCUGGUGUAGCGGUGAAAUGCGUAGAUAUCAGGAGGAACACCUGUGGUGUAGACAGCUUUCUGGACCGUAGCUGACGCUGAGACACGAAAGCGUGGGUAGCAAACAGGAUUAGAUACCCUUGUAGUCG
rnacentral:rRNA from 1 species